CCCUUAGAUGUUCUGGGCCGCACGCGCGCUACACUGACGAAUGCAACGAGCUUAUAACCUUGGCCGAAAGGUCUGGGUAAUCUCCAAAUUUCGUCGUGAUGGGGAUAGAUUAUUGCAAUUAUUAAUCUUCAACGAGGAAUGCCUAGUAAGCGCAAGUCAUCAGCUUGCGUUGAUUACGUCCCUGCCCUUUGUACACACCGCCCGUCGCACCUACCGAUUGAAUGGUCCGGUGAAAUCUCGGGACGGCGGCUUGGUCGCUUGCGUCCGACCGCUGAAACUUGAUUAAACCAUAUCAUUUAGAGGAAGGUGAAGUCGUAACA
rnacentral:rRNA from 1 species